UAUUGGACAAUGGGCGAAAGCCUGAUCCAGCCAUGCCGCGUGUGUGAAGAAGGUCUUCGGAUUGUAAAGCACUUUACGUUGGGAGGAAGGGCUGUAAUUUAAUACCUUGCUGUUUUGACGUUCCUGACAGAAUAAGCACCGUCUACCUUCGUUCCCGCCGCCGCGGUAAUACGAAGGGUGCACGCGUUCUUCGGAAUUACUGGGCUUAAAGCGCGCGUAGGUGGUUUGUUAAGUUGGAAGUGAAAGACCCGGGCUACACCUGGGAACUGCUUUCAAAACUGGCAAGCUAGAGUAUGGCAGAGGGUGGUGGAAUUUCCUGUGUAGCGGUGAAAUGCGUAGAUAUAGGAAGGAACACAAGUGGCGAAGGCGACCACCUGGGCUAAUACUGACACUGAGGUGCGAAAGCGUGGGGAGCAAACA
rnacentral:rRNA from 1 species